GGAUUGCUCAGUCGGUAGAGCAUGAGACUCUUAAUAUUAGGGAUGUGGGUUCAAGUCCCACACUGGAACA